CAAGUAAAAAGAGUAAAAAUAGCAUAGAAGAUGAGGAUACCACAACCUUUGUCUGAUUCAUAAUUUCAAAUAUUAAUGUCUGCAUUGUCAUGAGGCCAAUAGUCCACACUUGAAUGGUGGGAUGUCUAUGUCUGUGUCUAGGAAAAGCUGAAAUAACAACCUUGGCAUGGCCAAAGAUUUUAAUGGAAUCACCUGCAAGUGACGUGAAGUCAAAGAAUGAAAUCUGAUUGCAAGAGACCACUUCAGAGCUGCCUGAGAACAAGGCCUAUUCAGGAAUGUCCAGGGAAGGAGGUUUCCAGGGACCAGACAACUGCAUGGGACAUCUGGGACUCAAGAUGAAAUGUGCGGAUUAAUUGGACGUUGGGAGUGGAUUAUCAAGUUAU